AGCAGCCGCGGUAAUUCCAGCUCCAAUAGCGUAUAUUAAAGUUGUUGCAGUUAAAAAGCUCGUAGUUGAAUUUCGGGAUCAGUUGGUCGGUCGUGCCUCGGUACGUACUGGUCAAAUUGAUUCCUACCUUCUGACGAACCACGAUGUCAUUAAUUUGGUGUCGCGGGAAAUCAGGACUGUUACUUUGAAAAAUUAGAGUGUUUAAAGCAGGCUCGCGCUUGAAUACAUUAGCAUGGAAUAAUGAAAUAGGACGUUUGAUUCUAUUUUGUUGGUUUCUAGGAUCGACGUAAUGAUUAAUAGGGAUAGUUGGGGGCAUUAGUAUUCAAUUGUCAGAGGUGAAAUUCUUGGAUUUAUUGAAGACUAACUACUGCGAAAGCAUUUGCCAAGGAUGUUUUCAUUAAUCAAGAACGAAAGUUAGGGGAUCGAAGACGAUCAGAUACCGUCGUAGUCUUAACCAUAAACCUAUGCCGACUAGGGAUCGGAUGAUGUUAAUUUUUAAUGACUCAUUCGGCGCCUUACG
rnacentral:rRNA from 1 species